rnacentral:rRNA from 1 species
GCGGCUACUGCUAUCAGGUUUCGACUAAGCCAUGCGAGUCAAGGGGUCGUAAGACACCGGCGUACUGCUCAGUAACACGCGGACAAUCUACCCCCAGGUGGAGGAUAACCUCGGGAAACUGAGGCUAAUACCCCAUAGUUGUCAUGUGCUGGAAUGCUUUGACGAUGAAAGAAUUUCGCCUGAGGAUGAGUCUGCGGCCUAUCAGGUAGUAUGUGGUGUAAAGGACCACAUAGCCUAAGACGGGUACGGGCCUUGAAAGAGGGAGCCCGGAGAUGGACUCUGAGACACUAGUCCAGGCCCUACGGGGCGCAGCAGGCGCGAAAACUGUGCAAUGCGCGCAAGCGCGACACGGGAAGCCUGAGUGCCUUAACUAUGUUAAGGCUUUUCUUGAUCCUAAAAAGCUCAAGGAAUAAGAGCUGGGUAAGACGGGUGCCAGCCGCCGCGGUAACACCCGCGGCUCGAGUGGUAGUCACUUUUAUUGAGCCUAAAGCGUUUGUAGCCGGAUUUGUAAAUCUCUAGGAAAAUACUUCUGCUUAACUGAAGAAAUUUUGGAGAGACUGCAAAUCUAGGGACCGGGUGAGGUUGAAUGUACUUCUGGGGUAGGGGUAAAAUCCUGUAAUCCUGGAAGGACGACCGGUGGCGAAGGCGUUCAACUAGAACGGAUCCGACGGUGAGGAACGAAGGCUAGGGGAGCAAACCGGAUUAGAUACCCGGGCCGUCCUAGCUGUAAACACUGCCCACUUGGUGUUGCAUCUCCGGUAAGGGGGUGCAGUGCCGUAGCGAAGGUGUUAAGUGGGCCGCUUGGGGAGUAUGGUCGCAAGGCUGAAACUUAA